GUACAUAUAGUUUAAUUAAGACAUUAGACUGUGGCUCUAAAAAUAGGGGUUAAAGCCCCCUUACGUACC
rnacentral:tRNA from 1 species